rnacentral:tRNA from 1 species
GGCCUAUGGUCAAGCGGUCAAGACGCCGCCCACUCACGGCGGAUAAAGGAAUUCGAUUCUCCUUAGCGUCACCA